AGUGAACGCUGGCGGUAGGCCUAACACAUGCAAGUCGAACGGCAGCACAGUAAGAGCUUGCUCUUACGGGUGGCGAAUGGCGGACGGGUGAGGAAUACAUCGGAAUCUACUUUUUCGUGGGGGAUAACGUAGGGAAACUUACGCUAAUACCGCAUACGACCUACGGGUGAAAGCAGGGGACCUUCGGACCUUGCGCGAUUGAAUGAGCCGAUGUCGGAUUAGCUAGUUGGCGGGGUAAAGGCCCACCAAGGCGACGAUCCGUAGCUGGUCUGAGAGGAUGAUCAGCCACACUGGAACUGAGACACGGUCCAGACUCCUACGGGAGGCAGCAGUGGGGAAUAUUGGACAAUGGGCGCAAGCCUGAUCCAGCCAUACCGCGUGGGUGAAGAAGGCCUUCGGGUUGUAAAGCCCCUUUGUUGGGAAAGAAAAGCAGCAGGUUAAUACCCCGCUGUUCUGACGGUACCCAAAGAAUAAGCACCGGCUAACUUCGUG
rnacentral:rRNA from 1 species